rnacentral:rRNA from 1 species
UACGAAGGGGGCUAGCGUUGUUCGGAUUUACUGGGCGUAAAGCGCGCGUAGGCGGAUCGUUAAGUCGGGGGUGAAAUCCUGGAGCUCAACUCCAGAACUGCCUUCGAUACUGGCGAUCUCGAGUCCGGAAGAGGUGAGUGGAACUCCUAGUGUAGAGGUGAAAUUCGUAGAUAUUAGGAAGAACACCAGUGGCGAAGGCGGCUCACUGGUCCGGUACUGACGCUGAGGUGCGAAAGCGUGGGGAGCAAACAGG